UACGGAGGGGACUAGCGUUGUUCGGAAUACUGGGCGUAAAGCGCACGUAGGCGGAUUGUUAGUCAGGGGUGAAAUCCCGAGGCUCAACCUCGGAACUGCCUUUGAUACUGCAAAUCUCGGAGUCCGGAAGAGGUGAGUGGAAUUCCUAGUGUAGAGGUGAAAUUCGUAGAUAUUAGGAAGAACACCAGUGGCGAAGGCGGCUCACUGGCCCGGUACUGACGCUGA
rnacentral:rRNA from 1 species